rnacentral:rRNA from 1 species
GUUCUAUUGAUUAAUUUAUUUUAGGUCUGGUCUGCUCACUGAUUAAUAUUAAAGAGCCGCGGCAUUUUGGCCGUGCAAAGGUAGCAUAAUCAUUAGUCUCUUAAUUGGGGGCUGGUAUGAAUGGCUUGACGAGAAAUCAACUGUCUCUUAUUAAAUUUUAGAAUUUAACUUUUAAGUUAAAAGGCUUAAAUUUUUCUUUAGGACGAGAAGACCCUAUAGAGCUUAACAUUUUAUAUUUAUAUAGUUUUUAGUAAGUUUUUCUAUAUAAAAUGUUAAUGUUUUGUUGGGGUGACAUGAAAAAUAAAUAAACUUUUCAUUAUUAAAUCAUUGAUUUAUGUUAAUAAGUUGAUCCAUAAUUUAUGAUUAAAAGAUUAAGUUACCUUAGGGAUAACAGCGUAAUUGUUUUCGAGAGCUCAUAACGAAAAAGCAGAUUGCGACCUCGAUGUUGGAUUAAGAAAAAUAUUGGGUGCAGUAAUUCAAUAAUUAGGUCUGUUCGACCUUUAAAUUCUU